rnacentral:rRNA from 1 species
GGUAUAUGCUUGUCUCAAAGACUAAGCCAUGCAAGUCUAAGUAUAAGUUAUUCUGAAGACGAAACUGCGAAUGGCUCGGUAAAACAGCAAUAAUUUCUUCGGUGAUGAGUUUACUCACGGAUAACCGUAGUAAUUCUAGAGCUAAUACGUGCUGAGAAAAGGUGGGGCUCACGCUCCAUCGUGCCGUUUAGAUAACAACACCAACAUUUGGUGAUUCAUAAUCGUCUUUCUGAUCGCCUCGUGCGACGCACCGUUCAAAUUUCUGACCUAUCAACUUUCGAUGGUAAGGUAGUGUCUUACCAUGGUGGCAACGGGUAACGGACCGUGGGUGCGGGACUCCGGAGAGGGAGCCUGAGAAACGGCUACCACAUCCAAGGAAGGCAGCAGGCGCGCAACUUGCCCAAUCCAGACUCUGGGAGGCAGUGACAAGAAAUAUCAAUAGGGGAUCCUAUGGGUCUUCUAAUUGGAAUGAGAACAAGCUAAACAGCUUAUCGAGAAUCCAGCAGAGGGCAAGUCUGGUGCCAGCAGCCGCGGUAAUUCCAGCUCUGUAAGCGUAUACCAAAGUUGUUGCAGUUAAAACGCUCGUAGUCGGAAUUUGGCAGUUCCGGAAGUGUGCACGUCGUGUGCGCACUUUGCAGGGACUGCUUUUGUGGUCUUGCGUAGGAUGAGGCACUUUUAUUAGUGAACGUCCUCACGCAACCACUCUUUACUGUGAGAAAAUCAGAGUGCUCAAAGCAGCAUUUGCCGUGAAUGUAUUAGCAUGGAAUAAUAGAUAGGACUCGGUUCUAUUUUGUGGUUUGUUGGGACUGAGUAAUGAUUAAGAGGGACAGUUG